rnacentral:rRNA from 1 species
AGUGAACGCUGGCGGUAGGCCUAACACAUGCAAGUCGAACGGCAGCACAGUAAGAGCUUGCUCUUACGGGUGGCGAGUGGCGGACGGGUGAGGAAUACAUCGGAAUCUACUUUUUCGUGGGGGAUAACGUAGGGAAACUUACGCUAAUACCGCAUACGACCUACGGGCGAAAGCAGGGGAUCUUCGGACCUUGUGCGAUUGAAUGAGCCGAUGUCGGAUUAGCUAGUUGGCGGGGUAAAGGCCCACCAAGGCGACGAUCCGUAGCUGGUCUGAGAGGAUGAUCAGCCAGACGGGAACUGAGACACAGUCCAGACUCCUACAGGGGGCAGCAGUGGAGAAUAUUGCACGAUGGACGCAAGCCUGAUCCAGCCAUACCGCGUGAGUGAAGAAGGCCUUCGGGUUGUAGAACCCUUUUGUUGUGAGAGAAGAGCAGCAGGUUAAUACCCCGCUAUUCUGACGGUACCCAAAGAAUAAGCACCGGCUAACUUCGUG